rnacentral:rRNA from 1 species
GCCAGACUCCUACGGGAGGCAGCAGUGGGGAAUAUUGCACAAUGGGGGAAACCCUGAUGCAGCAACGCCGCGUGAGUGAAGAAGUAUUUCGGUAUGUAAAGCUCUAUCAGCAGGGAAGAAAAUGACGGUACCUGAGUAAGAAGCCCCGGCUAACUACGUGCCAGCAGCCGCGGUAAUACGUAGGGGGCAAGCGUUAUCCGGAUUUACUGGGUGUAAAGGGAGCGUAGACGGCAAUACAAGUCGGAAGUGAAAUACCCGGGCUCAACCUGGGAACUGCUUUGGAAACUGUAUGGCUAGAGUGCUGGAGAGGUAAGCGGAAUUCCUAGUGUAGCGGUGAAAUGCGUAGAUAUUAGGAGGAACACCAGUGGCGAAGGCGGCUUACUGGACAGUAACUGACGUUGAGGCUCGAAAGCGUGGGGAGCAAACAGGAUUAGAUACCCCGGUA